AUAAAUCUAGGGACACUUGGAAGCAUUCAGUGAGUCGUAAAAGAGCCACAGAGGAGGAACCUUUAUGGAAGAGGUUGGGGAUGCAUCAUCAAAAUCUUCACAACGUUUGAGAUAGGCAGAACAGAAAAGACCCUUUUUCCCAUUACUUCGGUCUCUUGAUUCUUUAUGGUCAUCAAAGCAGCUCAAAUGUUGGCUUUUCAUUUCUACUGAUUUGCUGCAGAGUUUUCUAGAGCGAUGUAUGAAGUCCUGCAAGAUGUUUGUCCCCCAUUUCACAGCCCCAGAAAGAGCCGUAUUAUAUGAAAAACCAUCAAAUACAGUCUCUUUUGCUGGAUCUUUGCUGUUCCCAGAGUUCCUGCUACAGCUUCAUCUCCUGGCGCCUUCUCUUGGUAAAAUUUGUUCUCACUCUUCUAAGCUCUUCUGAAAUGCACAAGUGUUUUUGCGUACAGCAACAGGAGAGAAGACUUUAAUGUAGAAAUGCCUUAGAAAUAUCUUCUGGUAUUGAGACUUCCCUGGUGGCGCAGUGGUUAAUAAUCCACCUGCCAGUGCAGGGGAUAUGGAUGGAUUGUAGCCCUGGUCCGGGAAGAUCCCACAUGCCACGGAGCAACUAAGCCCGCGUGCCACAACUACUGAAGCCUGCGCGCCUAGAGCUCAUGCUCCGCAACAAGAGAAGCCACUGCAGUGAGAAGCCCACGCACCGCAAGGAAGAGUAGCCCCCGCAUGCCGCAAGUAGAGAAAGCCCGUGGGCAGCAACAAAGACCCAAUGCAGCCAAAAAUAAAUAAAUAAAAAAAAAAGAAGAAAAAAGAAACAUCUCCUGGUAUUAAGAAAUUGUUUUUAAGAUCACUCACUUUGGGGGAAGUGAGCUGCCAUGUUAUGAAGACACUCAAGCAGCCCUAUGGAGGCUCCAUGUGGAGAGGAACUGAGGUCCUCUGCUAAUGGCCUUCACUAACUUGCAAGGAAUAUGAGUGAGCACCUUAGAAGUGAGUCCUCCAGUCCCAGAUAAGCCUUCAGAUGACUGCAGCCCUGGGAGACACCUUGACUGCAACCACAGGAGAGACCCUGAGCCAGAAUCACCCAGCUAAGGUACUCCUGGAUUCCUGAGCUACACAAGUGUCAUUCCAGGAACUGAUUCUAUGAAGAGGAAAAUGUUGUGGUCUCUUCGGGAGUUCAAACCUUGGAAGGGAAACAUGUUCCUUCGGCAGGGCGAGAGAGCUGGAGUACAUCGGGGAGAGGACAGCUGAUCAAAGGCAAGAGGAAGGGGAAAAAGGACAGCACCAUUUGCAUCUUUCACCUUAACCAAGAACAGCAAAAAUCUUUCCAAGCUCCCAUGCAUUCAGUGAGUGAUAAAUACAUAUGAUCUCGAAAGAGUUACUUAAUCACUCUGAACCUCAGUUUCCUCAUUUAUUUAUAUGGGAGGCUAAUACCUCUCUCAUGGGAUAGUUGUGAGAAUCAAUGAAAUAAUAUUUUUAAUAUGUUUGGAACACUACCUGACACAUGACAGGUGCUCAACCAAGGAAAGGAAUUGUUAUCUGAGGAAGCAGA